rnacentral:rRNA from 1 species
UACGUAGGGGGCGAGCGUUGUCCGGAUUUAUUGGGCGUAAAGAGCGUGUAGGCGGCCAGGUAGGUCUGCUGUGAAAACUCGAGGCUCAACCUCGAGACGUCGGCGGAAACCAUCUGGCUAGAGUCCGGAAGAGGAGAGUGGAAUUUACGGUGUAGCGGUGAAAUGCGUAGAUAUCGUAAGGAAGACCAGUGGCGAAGGCGGGUCUCUGGACAGUUCCUGACGCUGAGGCACGAAGGUCAGGGGAGCAAACGGG